GAUCAUGGCUCAGGAUGAACGCUAGCUACAGGCUAACACAUGCAAGUCGAGGGGCAGCAUAUCGAAGCUUGCUUGAUAGAUGGCGACCGGCGCACGGGUGAGUAACGCGUAUCCAACCUUCCCAUCACUCAGGGAUAGCCCGCCGAAAGGCGAAUUAAUACCUGAUGGUCUCCUUCGCGGACAUCUAACGAGGAGUAAAGAUUUAUUGGUGAUGGAUGGGGGAUGCGUCUGAUUAGGUAGUAGGCGGGGUAACGGCCCACCUAGCCGACGAUCAGUAGGGGUUCUGAGAGGAAGGUCCCCCACAUUGGAACUGAGACACGGUCCAAACUCCUACGGGAGGCAGCAGUGAGGAAUAUUGGUCAAUGGACGGAAGUCUGAACCAGCCAAGUAGCGUGCAAGGAUGACGGCCCUAUGGGUUGUAAACUGCUUUUGUGCGGGAAUAAAGUAUGGGACGUGUCCCAUUUUGCAUGUACCGCACGAAUAAGGACCGGCUAAUUCCGUGCCAGCAGCUGC
rnacentral:rRNA from 1 species